GACGAACGCUGGCGACGCGCUUAACACAUGCAAGUCGAACGGAAAGGCCUGCUUUCCCUUGUGGAUUGCGGGUACUCGCGUGGCGAACGGGUGAGUAACACGUGAGUGAUCUGCCCCCAACUUGGGUAUAAGCCUGGGAAACUGGGUCUAAUUCCCGAUAGGACUGCAGGGUGGUGCCUGUGGUGGAAAACGAUUUUCUAGUGGUUGGGGAUGAGCUCGCGGCCUAUCAGCUUGUUGGUGGGGUAAUGGCCUACCAAGGCGGCGACGGGUAGCCGGCCUGAGAGGGUGGACGGCCACAUUGGGACUGAGAUACGGCCCAGACUCCUACGGGAGGCAGCAGUGGGGAAUAUGACACAAUGGGCGGAAGCCUGAUGCAGCGACGCCGCGUGGGGGAUGACGGCCUUCGGGUUGUAAACUCCUUUCGACCGCGAGGAAGCCACCUGGUUGGAAGGGUGGUGACGGUAGUGGUAGAAGAAGCACCGGCUAACUACGUG
rnacentral:rRNA from 1 species